CCUGCUCCUUGCUUCUCGGGGAAUAAUGAUAAUAGUGAUAAUAACAGCAAUCACACACAUAGAGCUACUAUGUUCCAGGCAUUUUUAAAAAGCACUUCACGUGAAUUUAUGCUUGACAGGAACCCUAUGAGGUAGGGGCAAUUUUAAUCUCAUUUUUACAGAGGAGAAUAUAAAAUGCAGAUGAGUGAAGGAACUUGUUCAUCAUCGAUAACAGCGAUGAUGCUACAGCUGGAGCUCAGACUCAGGAGAGCUGGCUCCACAAACCUUGCUCCUGGUCACAGCCAUCUGCUCACUUCCACAACAGCGUCAGCCCCUCAUUUGCUCACUGCCUUGGGUGAACUCAAGUGGAAAUGCCUCAGAAAUAUUGCUAAAUAUAAAGUAUCUGAAAAUUAAAAAUGCUUAAGCUCAGUGUUGAUAAGAAACUAGAGUGUGGUAGAAUGCAUUCAUUUAUAUUACCUGUGACAACACCACCAUUCAGGAGAAUGUCUUAUAACUACCAUAACUGCAAAAGGACGUGAAGAGUAGAAGUCCGAAACAAUAAAAUGUCAUCCAGCACUAGCACAGUGAAGGGGGUGUUCUUAAAAGGUAAUUUGAUUUGGAAGUGUUAGGAGAGAAAAAUAGAUACUUAUCCAUAGCAAUACUGAAAACAUAUAGUAGCAUUCAUGGAGCAUCAACGCAUACAACCAUUCCAGAUCAGCCAGGUAUUUGUCCCAAGGUUUGUCUGCCUACACACACACUCAAAAGUUAGGAAUAUUAAGAAAAAAAAAAGUCCAGAAGCAUAGAUGGGGUGGGUGAGAUCGGAGUGUUCAUACUCAGAGGGAGACAUUUGAAAAUCCCUACCGUUAAGCCCUGAAUGCUUAUGGCAAGGAUUUGAACAUUGCAAGUUCCUGUCUGGGUUAUUCUGUUGAAACAGGGUUGAAGAAUGGCAAAGACCAACAUCGGCCAAAGGAUAAAGAUGCCAGCUCUGUGUUCGCCAGGUAGCCUGUUGGUCUGUGAGGCUGACUGUCAGUGUGUCAUUGCAGAGCUGGCACAGCUGAAGGCAGAAGCACCGGGCACAGAGGAGAGUGGGGAGGAAGAUCUUGAAAAAGCUGUCUCCAUCAACUUACUGAUCCCAGGGACCAGGGAGCCAGCCCCCGGGGCAAGGUAUGUUCAGAGUUUUACCAAGAUCCUCAUUUUAUAAAAUGAGUAAUUCUGCUCAUCUUUCUCCUGCCCCCUUCCCCCUACCAGUAGUUAAUGAUCCCUGGGGGCAAUGGUCCCCAUAGCUAAUGAACCCAAACACGACCAGGCCUCCAGGCCCCUGCACAGGCCUGAAGGCUGCAUGUGGCAUCAGACUCCCCACAAAGCCUUUGCUGGGAGGGGACCGUUGUCACCAACCGUGGUCAUCGGAUUGGCUCCUUCGCUGGGCGUCACUAAAACCCCUCAGCUCAGGCCAUGGA
ensembl:lncRNA